AGAGGUGUGCACCAUCACAUACCUGCCUCCUGAGUGCAGAUUAGAGGUGUGCACCAUCACAUACCUGCCUCCUGAGUGCAGAUUAGAGGUGUGACCAUCACGUACCUGCCUCCUGAGUGCAGAUUAGAGGUGUGACCAUCACGUACCUGCCUCCUGAGUGCAGAUUAGAGGUGUGACCAUCACAUACCUGCCUCCUGAGUGCAGAUUAGAGGUGUGACCAUCACGUACCUGCCUCCUGAGUGCAGAUUAGAGGUGUGCACCAUCACAUACCUGCCUCCUGAGUGCAGAUUAGAGGUGUGCACCAUCACAUACCUGCCUCCUGAGUGCAGAUUAGAGGUGUGCACCAUCACAUACCUGCCUCCUGAGUGCAGAUUAGAGGUGUGACCAUCACGUACAGCCAGGCUCUUUCUUCUCUGAAACAAGGUUUGGUUGUGUGGCCAAUGCUGAC